AACGCGAAGAACCUUACCAGGCCUUGACAUCCAAUGAACUUUCUAGAGAUAGAUUGGUGCCUUCGGGAACUGUGAGACAGGUGCUGCAUGACUGUCGUCAGCUCGUGUUGUGAAAUGUUGGGUUAAGUCCCGCAACGAGCGCAACCCUUAUCUUUUGUUGCCAGCGGUCCGGCCGGGAACUCAAAGGAGACUGCCAGUGAUAAACUGGAGGAAGGUGGGGAUGACGUCAAGUCAUCAUGGCCCUUACGACCAGGGCUACACACGUGCUACAAUGGCGCAUACAAAGAGAAGCGACCUCGCGAGAGCAAGCGGACCUCAUAAAGUGCGUCGUAGUCCGGAUUGGAGUCUGCAACUCGACUCCAUGAAGUCGGAAUCGCUAGUAAUCGUGGAUCAGAAUGCCACGGUGAAUACGUUCCCGGGUCUUGUACACACCG
rnacentral:rRNA from 1 species